rnacentral:miRNA from 1 species
UCGCUUUGCACCUCAACGUUAGC